CUUUCCUUUUAGUUUCACCUUGACAGCACAUUCUAGAACCUCAUUACCUCACACCAGGACAAAGGGGUCCUACCUAGAUGCCCCUUCCACCUGCCCAUUUAAUCCCAAACACUCUAUGCACACUGCCACUUUCACCAUCCCAUGUCCACGCUUCGCAGAGACACCUGCAAAAACACUUCCAAUGCAAGACUCAGCCACAACUGAGCCUCAGAGUGUGAUAUCUAGGGGACAAGUUGACAAAGAACCACAGGAGAAACCAAAGAGAUGUCUCAGAGAAAACCUCCUCUGACUAUAAUGCCCAUGGAAAAUCAUCUUAAUUCCAGAAAGUGGAGGCUGACGGGACACACCGUUGAGAGGGGACCUUCUCACACUCCAGAAGAUGAAGACUUUAGCAAGACCGUCAUUUCAGAAAAAGAGCUGGACAGGAGAUGGCAUGAUGAAGAUUAAAACCGACAAACACUUAAUACUGUCAUGAACUGCUACACA